UCCCUGGUGGCUCAGAGGUUAAAGCGUCUGCCUCCAAUGCAGGAGAUCCGGGUUCAAUCACUGGGUCGGGAA
rnacentral:tRNA from 1 species